AACCAGUCCAGGAGCCGGUGAAUGAGGGCCAACAUCUCCGCGCUGCGCUGCUGGCUGAGCUCUGAUCGUCAGGAUGAGGCAGCGCAGAUUCCGCUCCUGCAGGAGGAAUCAAUCCAAGAGAAAGAGGAAGCAGGCUGAGAGUUGUCCUGACUGUGCUGGAUGUGUGGCAUGUGGCUGCCCAUGCUCCGGUGCAGCGAGCGCGGCCCGCCGUGUGCCUCUACAUGUGAUCGGCAGGUCAGGCGCGGUUACGCGCUUCCCAGCGGGGCGGAGGAGUGAGACCGCGCUGGAUCGAGCACACAGUCAGACACGCGGGGAGUGUUAACCUAAUUCAACAGCUAACGAGCAUGAGAAAAGGACGUGAUUCAUCUAAGAAAUGUAACUCGGUUGCAGAGACUGUAAUAAUAAUCGGUUAUGUAUUCUUUGCUCAUUUUGUUGGGUUAUAAAGGCUUUUUUAGAAAACCUGAUCGAAAAUGCAUGGACUUUAGUUAGGAGGCGUGAGUCUGGAAUAUUUGUAACCUGACUCUUAUCAUACUGUGUGUCUAAACUAAAGGAUUUGCAUAAACAGAGCAAGUUUAUGGGUUAUGUAAGUGUUAUAUAAGGACGAACUGUGAUGGGAAAAACAGCGAGGUUGUUUUUUCAGCUAAAUAUGUUCAAGCUCUCAAACACAGACUCGGACAGGCAUGAUUUCCACAGGAAAAAAAAAAAACUUUAUUAAUACUUUUUCUUUAAUAUAUGUCAACAAUACUUUAGACAAAAUAUAUACAUCAAGCAACCUUUUCUUAGGUCCCAAAAUAAAAAGUAAGUACCUCUUCCUAUACAAAACUAUUAUAUUGUUUUUUUAACAUUACAUUCACUUUCUUUUGCUUCUAUGUAGAAUCCAGGAUUAAAAAUGUAGAUAUCCGCCAUCGUGUUUACUGCUUUAAACAGGUAAAGGCAACAGGAUGAACAAAGAUCUGUCCUAAUUUGACCGGAAAUGAACAUAGAACAUGAUGCAGAUCGAGUCUAGGUCCGACACUAUGUACACAAUCUCAUGGCAUACAGUGUUCGGCUGUCCAAAACUCGUGAACGUAAGUGUGGGCCACGUAUCAAAAAUACAGAUGUACAAGUAGUAUAAACAAAAUAAUUACACAACACAGUUACCUCACAACAACUUCACCUACGUGCACGAAUGGAUGAGAAACUCAAAAGCUACAGCGGAGUCGUGAUUACAUGACUCCCGUAUUUACACGAGCAUCACGUCUCAGGAGACAAUGUUGUCCUCGUUUAUGCAAGGAAACUCAGGUGAGCACGAGAUGACAAACGUGCACGCGUGUGCGCUCCGGUCAACAAAAGCAAAGACAUUUAUUUGGUAGCAUUCUAGUCUAAAAGGACGGUUCUUAUCGGUUAAAGCAGUCACAGAAGCAGAAGAGAGUGGAGCUUCCUGAUCAAGCAUCCACGGCACAGAGAAA